rnacentral:rRNA from 1 species
AUGGGGUGACUGCGUACCUUUUGUAUAAUGGGUCAGCGACUUAUAUUCUGUAGCAAGGUUAACCGAAUAGGGGAGCCGAAGGGAAACCGAGUCUUAACUGGGCGUUAAGUUGCAGGGUAUAGACCCGAAACCCGGUGAUCUAGCCAUGGGCAGGUUGAAGGUUGGGUAACACUAACUGGAGGACCGAACCGACUAAUGUUGAAAAAUUAGCGGAUGACUUGUGGCUGGGGGUGAAAGGCCAAUCAAACCGGGAGAUAGCUGGUUCUCCCCGAAAGCUAUUUAGGUAGCGCCUCGUGAAUUCAUCUCCGGGGGUAGAGCACUGUUUCGGCAAGGGGGUCAUCCCGACUUACCAACCCGAUGCAAACUGCGAAUACCGGAGAAUGUUAUCACGGGAGACACACGGCGGGUGCUAACGUCCGUCGUGAAGAGGGAAACAACCCAGACCGCCAGCUAAGGUCCCAAAGUCAUGGUUAAGUGGGAAACGAUGUGGGAAGGCCCAGACAGCCAGGAUGUUGGCUUAGAAGCAGCCAUCAUUUAAAGAAAGCGUAAUAGCUCACUGGUCGAGUCGGCCUGCGCGGAAGAUGUAACGGGGCUAAACCAUGCACCGAAGCUGCGGCAGCGACACUAUGUGUUGUUGGGUAGGGGAGCGUUCUGUAAGCCUGCGAAGGUGUACUGUGAGGUAUGCUGGAGGUAUCAGAAGUGCGAAUGCUGACAUAAGUAACGAUAAAGCGGGUGAAAAGCCCGCUCGCCGGAAGAC